rnacentral:rRNA from 1 species
UGCAGUCGACGGUAACAGGUCUUCGGAUGCUGACGAGUGGCGAACGGGUGAGUAAUACAUCGGAACGUGCCCGAUCGUGGGGGAUAACGGAGCGAAAGCUUUGCUAAUACCGCAUACGAUCUACGGAUGAAAGCAGGGGACCGCAAGGCCUUGCGCGGACGGAGCGGCCGAUGGCAGAUUAGGUAGUUGGUGGGAUAAAAGCUUACCAAGCCGACGAUCUGUAGCUGGUCUGAGAGGACGACCAGCCACACUGGGACUGAGACACGGCCCAGACUCCUACGGGAGGCAGCAGUGGGGAAUUUUGGACAAUGGGCGAAAGCCUGAUCCAGCCAUGCCGCGUGCAGGAUGAAGGCCUUCGGGUUGUAAACUGCUUUUGUACGGAACGAAAAGACUCCUUCUAAUAAAGGGGGUCCAUGACGGUACCGUAAGAAUAAGCACCGGCUAACUACGUGCCAGCAGCCGCGGUAAUACGUAGGGUGCAAGCGUUAAUCGGAAUUACUGGGCGUAAAGCGUGCGCAGGCGGUUAUAUAAGACAGAUGUGAAAUCCCCGGGCUCAACCUGGGAACUGCAUUUGUGACUGUAUAGCUAGAGUACGGUAGAGGGGGAUGGAAUUCCGCGUGUAGCAGUGAAAUGCGUAGAUAUGCGGAGGAACACCGAUGGCGAAGGCAAUCCCCUGGACCUGUACUGACGCUCAUGCACGAAAGCGUGGGG